GUCUGAUGCUCUUGAACUUGGGUCCAUCCUGAUGUCUGUUGGGAACGCUGAGAAGAGAUCUGAUGCUGUGGGGACACUGCUGCUGCUGGUUCUUUGUUGUAGACUGCAAAACACAGCUGAAGAACAGUUAACUCUUUAGAACCUAAAGCUAAAAUAGGCCGUUUUCACUCAUUUUGUUUUUUUGAGUAUUUUGUGUAGGUGUAGUUUAGUAAAAUAAGUAAAUUUAAAAUAAGAACUAAAAAAAAAAAAAAAAAAAACGGGAAAGAAAAUUUUUACUAGGUUUUUAUUUAGAAAAAAAUCAGAAAACUCAUGAUUGAAAGAAUCCAAUGCCUCAAUCUUGAAAAAGGAACUAUAAUACAUAUAUACAAGUCUUUUGGGACACUGGAUAGCACAGUUUUCACUCAGGAGCCAUUUGUUUCACCCCAGUUCUCCAGGCGUUUUUGGAUCCUUCAAUCCAGUCAUUUAAAUGUGGUGCUCUCUGAAGUAGUUUCUGUCUAACUGCAAGCAAAGUCCCACAUCACAUUCCUGGCACUUCCAUAGGGUGCUCCUUUUGCAUAGUAUGCAACUCUGCAAAAGGUCUUGAGUGUCACUCACAGGAACAGGCAGAUGAUCGCAUCUCUCUCUCAGGCUGCCAUCCAAGGGACACCUGUGAGCUGAGCAGCUAGCUGCUCCUGAAAAUUUGCCAUGUCAUGAGCUUAUCAUGGUGGAUGGCACACAGCUCUUUGUGUAAAAUUAAGCUGUUGGUCACUGCAAUAUCCAGGAAGUGCUGGAAAAUUGUCAGUGACUCUGUUCCGAGCAUCUUGUUGGAGAUGUCAACUCCCCCAUGUACUUAUUGUACAGCUACAGCUGCAACCACUGCCCCGACCCCGGCCCCUCUGAUAUGGUGUUGUGUUUGAUGUGGACGGCCCAUUUGCUUCUUCAUAGGUAACUGGAAAAAGACAACAACUAGAAAAAAAAAAAAAAAGAAAAAAAAAAGAAGCAUGUGUAACAAACUAUAUAAGUUCAUAAAAAUACUUUUCAUUAUAAAGCAAUUUAUUAGUAAGAGAAAAAAGAAAGAAAAAAAGAAAAUAAAAACAAGUAACUAUAAUAAUAAUACAAUAACAAUGAAAUAAUAAAAAUAAAGUUUGCAGUUACUUACACUGCAUGAAAAGAGCUGUAUACGGACAAAUACGGGAUGGGAAAUCUCUGCUAAACUGUAGGUUUGCCAGAUAAAUGAGGCAGAGUGCUUGGAAAGGUAAUACACAGAAGUAAACUCAUGAAACAUCCAGAAACCUUACGUAUGUGGAUGUAUAUAGGAACUGGUGGAAGUUUCCUGGAAUCCUUACAGCUGGUUGUGAGGAGGGGUGGGUGUGAGGUGUGAAGGGCUUUUUAUAUGUUAAUGACCCCCAGGUAGAGGUGCCUUCUCUGAUUCAGAGCUGGGGGGGGGGUAACAAUGUCUCGUAAAGACAGCACAUACAGUAUUGUGGAACAUAAAAACUGUGUUUGCUAAAUACGUUUAUUAUUAAUAUAAUUUAAUUAGUCUAUUUAAGAAACUUAGCAUCAUUCAAAUUAACUGAAAUUCAAUGGACACAAUUACCAUUUUAAUAUGUGAAAAUUAUGUCUCUGACUUUUCAUGUUUAAUGUAGUCUAGAGGAAUGCAACAAAUGUUAUUUCAGAAUAUAUAUUUUCAACACUUUGAAAACAUGUCUCCAACUGCCCUAUGUCAGUCAUGUAUGCACGUAUCUCUCAAUGCUGCAUUCAUUGUAUAAAAGAAGCAGUUCAAAUGAGACAUUUUGUUUCAAAAACAUCAUGUAACACAUUUUGCUAGCUAGGAUGUUGAUAAAUUCAGUACCAUAUUCAUAAGUCAGUGAAAUUUAAAGCUGCUUGUUUUUGCUGAUGUCUCAUGAUUUGAAGUUCACUGUUUCUAUUGUUAUUAUGAUUCUACCCUAACAUUUCAUUAAAUCUUUUAAAAUAGAAACAAAGAAAAUCAAUAGACAGGUCCAUAAUCUAAAAGUCUUUCACAUGUGAAUGCAAAACAUGUUGGGUGAUACAGACUGACAAACUCGGGUAAAAAUAUCUGCAGAUACCUGUCAGCUACUGUACUUCUAGUCCAGAGGUGCCGAAACUAGGGCACGCAGGCCAAAGUUGGUCUUUUAUAAUAUAUCCGUGUCACAUUUGACCCUGGGCCACAAAACAUAAGUAAACUCAUAAGUAGCACAUGUAGGUUAUAUUUGUAGCAUUAGCAAUAGCCAACAAUUAAAAAUAUCUGCAGAUACCUGUCAGCUACUGUACUUCUAGUCCAGAGGUGCCGAAACUAGGGCACGCAGGCCAAAGUUGGUCUUUUAUAAUAUAUCCGUGUCACAUUUGACCCUGGGCCACAAAACAUAAGUAAACUCAUAAGUAGCACAUGUAUUGUUGGCUAUUGCUAAUGCUACAAACAUAACCUACAUUAAAUGGAUCAAAAUAAUUGAUUUUUCUGUUGUUAAAAAAUAUUAGGAUAUUAAAAAAGUUCCAUAAAAAUAAUAG
rnacentral:lncRNA from 1 species